CUGUAAUCGUCUAAAUCACAAGCAUCCAGCAUCAAUGAUCUUCCUCCCGUUGAUUUCUGCUUCAUGUCUAUGGGUUCGUUCUCGCCUUUCAACAGCUGAACAGCCUGCAUAGUCCAAGAAUUUACAAGCAUUCGGAGGUAAAAGAUAAAGACGUACCCGUUUCAUGUUGGGACGCAUGUUUGGCAAGUGGUGAAUGCAUGUAGAAGCUGUAAACAUGGCUCGUUUCAUCUCAAUAACAUCAUAGGUAUCGAGCAGACGAGGAUCUGCUAAUUCCUUGAUGUUGUUCUUUUCCAGCAUCGGUUUUGCCUAUGCAAAAGUAGCAGCAGAUAUGAAUAUUUCUUCCAGAAAUUCAAAAAUUAGAGGCAAAUCCAAGAUUCAGAAUCUAUGAAUUCAAAAUGAGUUUGUCGAAAGAAAGUGUCUAUUUAACAAGACCAUACCCACAUCACAAGACUCUGUCGGGAUGAAUCAACAGCACGACGACCAGUAAUAAGCU